rnacentral:ribozyme from 13 species
CUCAUAUUUUCUCUUGGAGAACAACUCCUUCUUUUCUCUUUCUUCCUCUCAUUUUUUUUUCCUUUUCUUGCGGGUGUUGUUUCACAAAACAAUCAAGAAAUAUUUCCGAGAGCGAGAAAGAGAACUUCUUGUUCAAUCGAUGUUGAUUAAAAGCCAAAUUUGAUUGUGGUUUCGAAUUUCACAUUUGAAAAGAAGAAAGGAGAAAGAAAA